rnacentral:misc_RNA from 1 species
GAUGAAGAACGCAGCGAAAUGCGAUAAGUAAUGUGAAUUGCAGAAUUCAGUGAAUCAUCGAAUCUUUGAACGCACAUUGCGCCCAUUAGUAUUCUAGUGGGCAUGUCUGUUCGAGCGUCAUUAAUUCCACUUAAGCCCUGCUUAGUGUUGGGAAUCUACUCUAGUGGUGCUACCCUGGAGCUACCCCUGAAAGGGGGCUGGCCCGGUAGCUACCCUGUAGUUCCUCAAAGAUAGUGCGCGGAGUUGCGUGGUCCUCUGAGCUUAGUAACUAUACACCUAGCUUUUGAGUGUCCCGCGGCGCCUGCCGUUUAAACCCCAUCUUUUAAUGGUUGACCUCGGAUCAGGUAGGAAUACCCGCUGAACUUAAGCAUAUCAAUAAGCGGAGGA